GCUGAGGUGAGUCCCGUGUGAUGCUGAGGUGAGUCCCGUGUGGUGCUGAGGUGAGUCCGUGUGAUGCUGAGGUGAGUCCCGUGUGAUGCUGAGGUGAGUCCCGUGUGAUGCUGAGGUGAGUCCGUGUGAUGCUGAGGUGAGUCCCGUGUGAUGCUGAGGUGAGUCCCGUGUGAUGCUGAGGUGAGUCCCGUGUGAUGCUGAGGUGAGUCCGUGUGAUGCUGAGGUGAGUCCGUGUGAUGCUGAGGUGGGGCCCGU
rnacentral:lncRNA from 1 species